AACGCUGGCGGCAUGGCUAAGACAUGCAAGUCGAACGGACCAUAUAAUUGGGUAACCGAAAGUAUGGUUAGUGGCGAAAGGGUGAGGAAUAGAUAGGAACGUACCCUGUGCUCUGGGAUAGCGUCUGAAGCUUCGGCUUCUUCCGAAAGGGGCGGUAAUACCAGAUAAUGUCCUUCGGGACCAAAGAUUUAUCGGCAUUGGAGCGGCCUAUCUCCUAUCAGCUUGUUGGUGAGGUAACGGCUCACCAAGGCAACGACGGGUAGCGGGACUGAGAGGUUGGCCCGCCACAUCGGGACUGAGACACUGCCCGGACCUCCACGGAGGGCUGCAGUAACGGAUAUUGGGCAAUGGGCGAAAGCCUGACCCAGCAAUGCCGCGUGCAGGAUGAAGCCCCUAGGGGUGUAAACUGCUGUCAGGGGUCAGAAAGCUGGUUUCGGCCAGUUGAUCAACCCCAGAGGAAGUCACGGCUAACUUCGUGCCAGCAGCCGCGGUAAUACGAAGGUGGCAAGCGUUAUUCGGAAUCAUUGGGCUUAAAGGGCACGCAGGCGGAACAGUGUGUGUUGUGUGAAAUCCCCCGGCUUAACCGGGGAAUUGCACAGCAAACUGCUGUUCUUGAGGCCAGGUAGGGGUGCAUGGAACUCUUGGUGGAGCGGUGGAAUGCGUAGAUAUCAAGAGGAACGCCAGAGGUGAAGACGGUGCACUGGGCCUGUCCUGACGCUGAGGUGCGAAAGCGUGGGGAGCGAGCGGGAUUAGAUACCCCGGUAGUCCACGCCGUAAACGAUGUCUACUAGGUCGUGGGUGUUCUGACACAUUCACGGCCGGAAGCAAAAGUGUUUAGUAGACCGCCUGGGGAGUACGGCCGCAAGGUUAAAACUCAAAUGAAUUGACGGGGGCUCACACAAGCGGGUGGAGCAUGUGGAU
rnacentral:rRNA from 1 species